UCGCGGGGUAGAGCAGUGGUCAGCUCAUCGGCUUCAUAAGCCGAAGGUCGUGGGUUCGAAUCCCACCCCCGCUAG
rnacentral:tRNA from 1 species